CAUCUUACUUUUUUCUGACCUUGCUUAGCCACUGGGGUAGGUUGAUGGAUUACGCCCACCAGAUGGGAGGUUUCUGCGGCCGGCCUUUCCCCCAGGUGACCGAGGACAGUUUGGAUGACUUGCUACAGAGGUUCAGUGAACUUGAUCUGCGACCAACCCUAUAUGAAGAAGUAAGUGCCCGAGAGAAAGUCGAGGCCCCAGAGUGGCACACCGAAUACUAGCCACGGCACCCAGUCAGGGUUUAUGUUUGUUUUUUGUGGUUUAUUUACUGUUUCCUUUGUAACUGCUGCUUUUUAUUUUUAGUAACAUAUUUACUUUUUUUCCUUCUUUUUUCUUAUUUGAUCUUUUUUCCUUAUUUUCUGAGUGAAAAAAAAUAUCUUGAAAUGUAUUUGCAGCAGGAGAAAAUUGAUAUCUAUCUUUUUGGUUGUUGUCGUUUUUACAAUUUGUAUUAUUGUUGCCAUCAUUGUUAUUGUUUAUUCAGUUUUCCUUUUCCAUUUGUAUGCAGUGUAUAACAAUUUCAAGUGUGUUUGACCAUAAAUUAAAAUAUGAUUUAUAAGUCCCUAAGGUGCUUACUUUUUGAUAAAUGUUUAAUUUUUAAAACAUUAAUAAAAAAAAAAGGGGGGGGGGGAAAUCAGUAAAGCAGCUAUUUACAGAAUAACGAAAUAAACAUAGACUUUUAAAAAAAUAGUAGAAAUAAGUUAAUAGGAAGGUGGAAGGGUUAGAAGGAAUCAGGAAUGAUGAAGUAUCAGUUAUCUAUAUUAGCAGACAUUUUCCUCUUAUAGUUACGAAGGGGAAAACUGAUAUUCUCGAACAAUCCUUCAUUUUUAUUUUUUCAUUUAUUUAUUUUUUUAUGUACUAUGUCUCCAGUGAUCUUUAUUUCCAAAGUUAUACUUUAUGAAUAUUGAAUUUAUGAUACUGAUAUUGAAUAUUGCAGUUGGAAUUUCUUUACAAAAUUGUAUUUUUGUAUAUAUCAGUUAUUGCACAAACUUACCAUCAGUUUGAUGACAGCGAAGGUUAAUUACUCUCUCUUUGUUGUAAUAUGAUAAUCCCUGUAAAACAUGAUACCUUGUUGCUUAUGAUAUGGUUAGUUUAUGGUAAUUAAGUUUUUCUUUUCUUUUCUUUUCUUGUGAUGUAAAAGGGAUAUUGUUUGUUCUCCCCUGAAAGAAGGGGAGGAUACCCAAAGAUGAUGAAACACUCCCAUGUUAAUUUUAAAAGAAAACUUGUUCUCCAUAAUCAUUUAUUCAUCAUUAUUGCUUAUUUUUCACACUCUUUUCUCUCCUCUCCUUUCCACUCUACUCCUCCUCCUCUUUUUUUUCCCCUUUGUUUACUAUCGCCAAUUACUCCUUCAUUAUUUUCCUCUUCCUCCUUCUCCUCUCUGUUUGUCAACCUUAAUCCUGAGCAAAAGCAAAUCAGCCAGCAUUUUCAAUAAUAUGGUAACAGUUAUUUUUAGCAUCAUAGUUAGAGAACAGCACAGAUUGAAAAAUGGCAAAUGUUGGAAUAGAGAAUACAGUCAAACUAAGAACAAAACCUACGUUAUUCUGCGUUUUGAAGUCUGCUUUUCACUGGGACUCAGGGACCAAAUAAACAUGUGUGCUUGACAUUUCACAUGUUAUGCACUUGUGUUUUCUAUUCUGCAUUCAUUACUUACAAGGUUGUUCAAUGCCUUUAUCAUUCUAUUCAUUUAUCUUGUAAUGCUUACUGAUGCUAUUAAAGGUUGUCAUUGUUACUAUUAUGGCCCCUACUAGUUUUCUUAGACAUUGUGAUAGCUUUUGCGGUGAGUAUUGUCAUUUUGAUUUACAUGAUUUUUGCCCUGCAUCAAAAACUUGUACGUCAUCAAAGCAGUCGUCUGUGUUUCUCUUGAAUGGAGAGGUGUUUUUAUUAUGGAAUGGAAGACUUUUAAACGCUACUAGAGAUUGGCACUUUUUCCUCUGCUGAUCUAUUCUUAUUCUAUCUUUUCUCUUUUUUCUGUCUUGGGAAGGUGGAUUUUAAUGGAUUUUGAAGGAGUGGAAUUUCAUUGGUUGUUUUUGGGUUUUGCUUCUGUACUGUUCACAUCAUCAUCAUUUUUCUUCAUAUAUUCAUGAUAGCUGUUAUUAUUAUUACCAUCGUUAUUAUUAUUAGUAGUAGUAUUGUUUUUGUUACUGUUUUCAGUAUUAUUACAUUGAUUAUUAGUAUUAUGAGUGUUAUGGCAGAAGUUAUUGAUUUAUAUAUUUGUACCACUAUUAGAAUUAUGUUUUUGCAUUAAACAAGAUGAAGAUAAUGAUAAUAUUAUUAUUAUAAUAUAGCUGAUAUUAUUAUUGAUAUUAUGGAUAUUAGUAUUUUGAAUUUAUUUUGUUUUCCUUUUGACAGGCUGUUAGUUAUAAUUGUACUUUUCAUUGCAUUUUUGCUUUUUUCAAUGACAUAUAUUUUUUUAUUAAUUAAAUGAUCUAGGCACUAGGGACCUAGGCAUUUACUAUUAAGGAACUUAAACUGGAGAACUAUUUUAUACUGAUAUUGAAGACUUCUCGUAUUAUUAUUCUGCUUCUUUUUCUUUCCUUUUGCAUGAAUAAUAUGUUAAUCCUGCAUAUGCUGGUUGAUAUGCAAGAGUUGUCUUUUGCUUGCCAAAAAAGAAAAUUUGAAUUAAAAAUUUGCAACUUUCCUUCCUUCCUUCCUUUCUUUCUUUCCUUUGGAAAAAUAUUUAAAUGUAUUAAACUUUUACUUGCAUUUAUUUGAUAGAUGCUGAAUGAAGUUUUUGCUAUUGAUGUUGCAUAUAUGCUAAUAUGUUUCUUGUUAAUAUGUGCAUCAUAGCUGUUAUGAUGCUGUUGUGGAGGCUCCGAUACAAAAAGUAUGUUCCUAUGGCUAGUCCUUUUAUUAAAAGGGUUACAAUUGUACAAUACCAAAAAAGAUGACGGAGUUGAGACAAGACAUUUUUUGUCAGUUGUUAAUGAUAGCUUCUUUGUUUGGCACUGAUUGAUGUUAUUCUCAUUUGAUUCUACAAUACCUUGGAAAGAUAACUAUGCAAGAAUUCUGUUCUAUAACAUGUGGUAUAAGGAAAAAGGAUUGCUUUUCUUUUUGAGUGAAAACCUUCUUCCAUUAUAGUGUACAUACUGCAACUUUUCCAUAUAAAACAUAUUUUGAUAAGUAAUGAUGACUAGUAAGAAACAUCAAACCACUUAGUGCCUUACAGAUUAUCAGUGUGCUGGAGUUGGUAAAUAUGCUCAAGAUCUGGAGGUGAAGGUGUAUGCCAUAUAUUAAUGGGUCUGCGGAUUUGAUUAUGGUUUAGUCCACUGGAUUUGUAUUAACCAAAGGAAUCAUGAUAAAAAAAUGUGAUUGUUAAUCUUAGUAUCAUGUUAAUUUUCAAUGGUUAAGUGAUAAAUGUACUUAUGAGUAAUAUUUUCAUUUUCUUUUUUUGUAUAUUAUUUUUUUUGUAAGUAUAUAAAAUGUUUUCAGCAA